rnacentral:rRNA from 1 species
AAGUAGGGGGCAAGCGUUGCUCGGAAUUACUGGGCGUAAAGGGAGAGUAGGUGGAGGAUUAAGUUAAGGAUGAAAUCCCGAGGCUCAACUGCGGAAUUGUCCUUGAUACUGGUCAGCUUGAGGCUAGUAAAGGAGAGCGGAAUUCCAGGUGGAGCGGUGAAAUGCGUAGAUAUCGGGAGGAACACCAGAGGCGUAGGCGGUUCUCUGGACUAUAACUGACGCUGAGGCGCGAAAGCUAGGGGAGCAAACGG